AGAGUUUGUAACAGCCCAAAGUCGGUGGCCUAACCUUUAUGGAGGGAGCCGCCUAAGGCGGGACAGAUGACUGGGGUGAAGUCGUACCAGGGUAGCCGUAGGAGAACCUGCGGCUGGAUCACCUCCUUUCUAAGGAAUAAAACGGAACCUACACAUAUGUAAAACUUUGUUUAGUUUUGAGGGGUUUACCCUCAGUAGCUUGCCUUGGAAAACUAAAUACUAUCUAAUUUCUUUAUUAACAACAACAGUAAACCGAGUACACCGCGUGCAUUUGAGAUCUUAAACUUAACGAAUUAUCAUCGUAACUGAGUUAGAUCAAUCUUCUGAUUGUUUAGGUUAAGUUAUGAAGGGCGCAUGGUGAAUGCCUUGGUACUAGGAGCCGAUGAAGUACGGGACUAACACCGAUAUGCUUCGGGGAGCGGUAAGUACACUUUGAUCCGAACUUUCCAAAUGGGGCAACCCAAUCAGAUUAAUCGAUGAUUACUUGAUCUGAAUUCAUAGGAUGUGUGAAGGUAA
rnacentral:misc_RNA from 1 species